CAUAUCCAAUAAGCCUGCAAACCUUGACAAAAGAGAAUCUCUCUCUCUUUAUUUAUUUUUUUUCAUUCUCUUUUGUUUUGUGGCUUUGAGAGCAACGACUCUGUCCCUUAUAAAACUGCCAAGCCCCUAACACCUAAUCUUGGGAGAGGGACUUGGGAGCAAAAGAAAAGGGAAAGUGAUCAAAAUGGAAGAAGAAGAAGAAAAGAAUGCAACAUCAGAAGGGAUGGAAAUUCAGUAUUGUAGUACGAGAAUUAUGUCACCAGAAAUUGUGGAGAUAGUAGAGGAUAACAACAGUGUUACAACUAGCCGAGAAGACAGUGCUAACGACGUUUAUGUAGCUGUCGGAAAGGAUGACUUGGAUGUACUGAAAUGGGCUCUUGAUCAUGCUGUUUCCCCCGGUGCUCGGGUUUUUCUUGUCCAUGUUUUCCCUCCUAUCACCUACAUCACUACACCUGUUGGAAAAUUAUCAAAGACCCAAUUGAGCAAAGAACAAGCCAGAGUUUACAUAAAUGAAGAGCAUAACAGGAGGAGAAAUCUCUUGCAGAAAUAUAUCCGCUUGUGUAAUGAGGCCAAGGUAACUGUGGACACAGUGCUCCUAGAGAGCAAUAUGACAGCCAAAGCAAUCCUUGAACUUAUUACUGUUCUUAACAUUACUAACCUCGUCGUGGGAACCAAACGAACACCUUGCUCAAGAGUGACAGGUGACUCUAAACCGAUGAAUUUGCGAUUUAACGGGUUGUGCUCAUCAUUCUUCAGGAGACUAGGGAAAAAAAUGGCAAAAGGAAAAUUUAUCAAGAAGAAUGCACCCGAAUUUUGUGAGGUGACCAUUGUUCAUGAUGGGAAGAAGGUUGUUGAUAAUCAACAGGUAAAAGAGCUGGUACAUUCAUCUCUGGCAUCCAGUCCCAGUAAACCAGAAAUUGCACGCCAAUCCGAAAAGAACUUCUUUGAGUGUGUGUGCUUUUCGGGCAAGUUCAAUUGAAAGCUUGAAACUGAUAUGUUAACUUGAAAAUGAAUAUGGUGGUAUUUGCAGAAGGCUUGUCCACGAGUUGGUUUGGACCCAACCCGGACUUGACUUGCCAACGUCAGGUGGAGGGCAGAGGAACCCGAAAUCAACCGCACGCAUUAAUCAGGCGAGUCAAUUUUGGGUUCAGGUGGGGGUUGGUCGAUUUGGUCAGUCGCUAGAAUUUGCAAAACUUUGCCAAGAACUGCAAAAUGUCGCCAGGAAGUGCAAAGCGUUGUCAAAAAUUGCAAAUUCUUUGCUGGAAUCUACAAAUUUCGCUAAAAAUUGCUAGGAUUUGGUUUGAUUUUGUCAGAUUUGCCCGAAUUUCUUAUAUAGCUCUGGUCAGGUUCGGGUUGCUCUGGUUUUGGAGAAGCAAACCCACAACUCGGCCCGCCGACAUCCAUUUUUGGAAUCGAAAACCCACCGUCGAUUGACUGGAGCUUCAGUUCUGGCCAAAACGGGCAAUAUGGUCAAUUUUUGGGCUUUAGUCGGGUUUGGACACCUCUACUUUCAAGCGAAUCACUAUUUUUUCUCUAUCAUUCAUAGUUUUCCACAUAAACAAUUGUAGCAAAAGUGGUGAUAAUCUUUUAGAGCUUCAAAUAGUAGUAGUUGUGUAUAAAAAUUGAUUAAUGGGCCUCACUCAUGAGAAGAGGGAAAAAAGCCCACAGUCCAGCCCAGUUCAACUCACUGCUAAAGAGUCUGGAAUUGUGAGUCUGUGACACGCACCGAAUCAGAUUCAUUCACCCAUAGAUAUUUUCCCUCCCAACAAAAUCAACAAUCUCUCUCUCAAGUCUCAACUCUCCUAUUUCACCCAAAAAUUCUCAAUUUUCUCACACAAA